GGCGAACGGGUGAGUAACACGUGGGCAAUCUGCCCUUCACUCUGGGACAAGCCCUGGAAACGGGGUCUAAUACCGGAUAUCACUCCCGCAGGCAUCUGCGGGUGUCGAAAGCUCCGGCGGUGAAGGAUGAGCCCGCGGCCUAUCAGCUUGUUGGUGAGGUAAUGGCUCACCAAGGCGACGACGGGUAGCCGGCCUGAGAGGGCGACCGGCCACACUGGGACUGAGACACGGCCCAGACUCCUACGGGAGGCAGCAGUGGGGAAUAUUGCACAAUGGGCGAAAGCCUGAUGCAGCGACGCCGCGUGAGGGAUGACGGCCUUCGGGUUGUAAACCUCUUUCAGCAGGGAAGAAGCGAAAGUGACGGUACCUGCAGAAGAAGCGCCGGCUAACUACGUGCCAGCAGCCGCGGUAAUACGUAGGGCGCAAGCGUUGUCCGGAAUUAUUGGGCGUAAAGAGCUCGUAGGCGGCUUGUCACGUCGGGUGUGAAAGCCCGGGGCUUAACCCCGGGUCUGCAUUCGAUACGGGCUAGCUAGAGUGUGGUAGGGGAGAUCGGAAUUCCUGGUGUAGCGGUGAAAUGCGCAGAUAUCAGGAGGAACACCGGUGGCGAAGGCGGAUCUCUGGGCCAUUACUGACGCUGAGGAGCGAAAGCGUGGGGAGCGAACAGGAUUAGAUACCCUGGUAGUCCACGCCGUAAACGGUGGGAACUAGGUGUUGGCGACAUUCCACGUCGUCGGUGCCGCA
rnacentral:rRNA from 1 species